AUGAUCAAUUUGUUGAAUGUGAUUGUUGGUUGCAUUGGAGUGUAUAUGUUGGAAUUUCGAAAAAUGCCCAAGGGUGUUAGAAUGGGUUUGUUUGUUGUAAUGUUAUCGUGAAGCUUGUUGGGUUUUUUGGCGAGGCUUUCGGAAUUGGUUUCCUUUUUUUCCAAGUUGAGAUGAUGAUUCCAUUAUAGUGUAAAGAGUUGAGAGGGUUGAGUAGAAAUAUGUGUGAAGUUUAGUAAAUAAAUGAAUUACAUUUUAUAUGGUUAGAUUUUCUUUAAUGUAGCAAUAACAUUACCGUUUUCAAAUGGUCUAAAACUUCAAAAAUUGAAUCAGUGAGGAUCGGAGAUUUUUUCUUGAUCUGGAAAAAAUCCCCUGAGGAUACGGGGGAUGGUGUUCCCAUUGUAACACCCUAAAAAUAAUGAGCCAUUAAAUGUAUAUAUAUAUAUAUGUGUGUGUGUGUGUAAUAAAUAUGGUUGAAUAUGUAACAUAUAGAUAAAAUUAGCUUGAAUGAUAACUAGGAAUAAUUAACCUAGUUGAUUAUUUGUGUUGUUAAUGAUAAAUAUUGCAUAGUAGCCAUUUAUAAACAAAAUUUGAAACAUGAGGGACCAAAAAGAGAAAAGCUGAAACUUGGGUAUUAGUAAUAAAAAUAAAACACAACACACACUAAGGGUGUGUGUGUGUGUACGACCAAGAGAAAGAACAAUGGAGCAAACCCUUGUUCAAACUUAAUCCAUCAAAUUGGAGGGCAAUUCGAACCUUGAGUUUGUACAUGAACGUAUAUUAACGAUCACCAGAACUAGGGGAUCACAAGGCAACUUGGGAAAAGCAUCAGGACAGCAAGCUGGGACGAAUGCUCGGUUGACAGAUAAGCUUUAAGGUGGUUUUAUUCCAAAUUCUCGGGUGAUGGUCAAACUCAAUGAAGAACCGAACACAAUUCAAAGAUCUAACUUUCGCAUUUUUAUACAACUUUUAUUAUAAACAAUGUUAUUAUCAAGUAGUA
rnacentral:lncRNA from 1 species